CAACUCGACCACACGAAGCUGGAAUCGCUAGUAAUCGCGAAUCAGCAUGUCGCGGUGAAUACGUUCCCGGGUCUUGUACACACCGCCCGUCACACCAUGGGAGUCAGCAACGCCCGAAGUCAGUGACCUAACCGAGAGGAAGGAGCUGCCGAAGGCGGGGCAGGUAACUGGGGUGAAGUCGUAACAAGGUACC
rnacentral:rRNA from 1 species